GACGAACGCUGGCGGCGUGCUUAACACAUGCAAGUCGAACGGAAAGGCCCUGCUUUUGUGGGGUGCUCGAGUGGCGAACGGGUGAGUGACACGUGAGUAACCUGCCCUUGACUUUGGGAUAACUUCAGGAAACUGGGGCUAAUACCGGAUAGGAGCUCCUGCUGCAUGGUGGGGGUUGGAAAGUUUCGGCGGUUGGGGAUGGACUCGCGGCUUAUCAGCUUGUUGGUGGGGUAGUGGCUUACCAAGGCUUUGACGGGUAGCCGGCCUGAGAGGGUGACCGGCCACAUUGGGACUGAGAUACGGCCCAGACUCCUACGGGAGGCAGCAGUGGGGAAUAUUGCACAAUGGGCGGAAGCCUGAUGCAGCAACGCCGCGUGCGGGAUGACGGCCUUCGGGUUGUAAACCGCUUUCGCCUGUGACGAAGCGUGAGUGACGGUAAUGGGUAAGGAAGCACCGGCUAACUACGUG
rnacentral:rRNA from 1 species